rnacentral:rRNA from 1 species
UACGAAGGGGGCUAGCGUUGCUCGGAAUGACUGGGCGUAAAGGGCUCGUAGGCGGUCUGUUGCGUCAGGAGUGAAAACUCGGGGGCUUAACCCCGAGCCUGCUUCUGAUACGGGCAGACUAGAGGUAUGCAGGGGAGAACGGAAUUCCUGGUGUAGCGGUGAAAUGCGCAGAUAUCAGGAGGAACACCGGUGGCGAAGGCGGUUCUCUGGGCAUUACCUGACCGUGAGGAGCGAAAGUGUGGGGAGCGAACAGG